GAAAUGAAGGUCGGGCAGGUAUGGCUGCUAUCGUCUUGCAACAGGAUCACAAAUUAAACGGAUCUGAACUCUACGACCAUUUAGUAAAAAACUCUUCCUGCCUAUGCCUGGCCGAGGUUUCUCAGAAUACAGACGUCCUUGGAUGUGACGGAGACGUUCAAGCAGCAGAAGGUGAAGCUGGUCACGGAGGGCUUCGAUCCGGACGUCACCCACGAUCUGCUGUACUUCUUAGACGUUUCUCAGAAAGAUUACACCCUCCUGACUGUGUCUCUGUAUCAGGACAUUGUGAAUGGGAAGAUCAAAGUAUGAACACUAUAGGACGUUGGAAGUUAAUGAAAAGGAGAUAUAAUCCAGGUUGUUGCCAUGUUUGCGUUUGUCUGUACGUGAAACGUGGUUAUAAUCAGCGCCACAGAUAGAGCUGUUAUUCAUAUUUGAAAGAUUAGUUAUUUACUCACUGUGAACCAGCCAGAGCUUUUAUUUACCACAACAUUUUAAGUGCUACUGUUCUAAGUUUUUACACUUGAUUCAAACCAGACACUUACUCCACGUUUACAUCUUGAUAAGUUAAGUGCCAUUUACACAUAAAAGCACUAACUCCACUAUUCAUGACAUUCCUGCCUGUUAUUUUUUACUUGCUUUUACUCUUACUUUCUUUUCUGUAUCACUAGUUGGUUACUAUAGACGUGAGCACUGCCUUCAUUGUGAAUUUUGAAACUGAAUUUUAUGGAAAUUAGGGUUUGUAAAUAGGAUUACAUUACAUCCACGUUUACAUCUUGAUAAAUUAAGUGCCUUUUACACAUAAAAGCACUUACUCCACUAUUCAUGACAUUAAUUUGUACUUGCUUUUACUUGACUUCUUUUUGUCUUGUCUUAUUUGAUUUGAUUUAUCACUAGUUAGUUACUAUAUAGACGUAUGUUGAAACUGAAUUUGACGGGCAUUCUUAUGGAAAUGAGGGUUUGCGAAUAGGAUUACAUUACAUUAAGCGAAACAUGUGGGUCUUCAGUUUGAGACAGACGAUAUGUAGACUCUCUGCUGUCCUGAAAUCAGUGAGAAGCUCCUUCCACCAUUUGGGAGACAGGAUAGCAAAAAGAUGUGUAUUUCUUUUUUGGUGUACCUGGUUCCACUUCGCCGAUUGGCUGAUGCAGAGCGAGGUGCACGUACUGGAGUGUAUGUUUUGACCAGUUCCCUUUACAGAUCCCUUUAAGUGUCUUGAAGCGUAUUCCGGCAGCCAGUGAAAGGAGCGAAGGUGAAGUGUAAUGUGGGAGAACUUGGAGGGCUUGAAGACCAGUAACGCUGCUGCAUUUUGAAUUAACUGUAGAGGCCGGAUGGCAUUUGCAGGUAGACCAGCCAGGAGGGAGUUACAGUAAAGGGUGAGAUGAGAAGACCCUGAACAGGACCUGUAUUUUAAGAUCUUGUAUAGCACUUUCUAGGCAAAACAAAGGGAAUUCCUUUAGAUACAACGUGGGGCAUUAUGUAAAAAAAAAACACUUUUCACAUUGUGUCAGAUGAUGUAACAUAUGGGAGUGGCUUUUCCCUUUCACGCCGUGACAUUUGAGGCUAUUAUGUCUCUGUGUGUUGUUUAUUCACAGUUUCAACACUAUAUGUAUUGUUGUUAAACCUAUAUGUAUAGCUGUGGAAGCAGACAUUGCACUGUGAGCUUUUAGAGGACCAGUUAUUCCUCCUUACCCCGUCAGUGUUUUUUGGCUAACUGUCUUAAAGUAAUCAUUCAUUAUGGUCACGAACGUUUUUUAAAUGACUUUUUUGUUUUGGGCAGACUUUUAUUUGAGAAUAUAUGUACCUUUCAACGCUUGUUGGAAAUCAGGUUUUCUUAAAAGAAUGGGACGGAUACAUCUAUAUUUUCUAUGUAUAAAUUCACCUGAUUAAUCAAAAAUGUGCUGUCCUCACAUUUCUGAACUGAAUAUAAAAGUCACUGUAAAAACACCAAA